GCCUACGGGUGGCAGCAGUCGAGGAUCUUCCGCAAUGCACGAAAGUGUGACGGAGCGACGCCGCGUGGGUGAUGAAGGCCUUCGGGUUGUAAAGCCCUGUCGACUGGGAAGAAUGGCGGGAGGUGAAUAGCCAUCUCGUCUGACGCUACCAGUAAAGGAAGCACCGGCUAAAUACGUGCCAGCAGCCGCGGUAAUACGUAUGGUGCGAACGGUGUUCGGAAUCACUGGGCAUAAAGAGCACGUAGGCGGUCGGGCAAGUACAUUGUGAAAUCCCCCGGCUUAACCGGGGAACGGCAAUGGAUACUACUCGGCUUGAGUGUAGGAGGGGAGAGUGGAAUUCCUGGUGGAGCGGUGAAAUGCGUAGAUAUCAGGAGGAACGCCGGCGGCGAAAGCGACUCUCUGGUCUACUACUGACGCUGAGGUGCGAAAGCUAGGGGAGCAAACGGGAUUAGAUACCCCAGUAGUCGA
rnacentral:rRNA from 1 species